CCUACUGGAGGCCUUCUAAGGGUAAGCAAUUUUUCUUCCUUUGUUUCUGCAUUUAUAGCUGCUGCAUUUGGGCUCGUUCUCUUUUGCUGCAGCCUAGGAUUGUGCCACUCUGUUACUGCUGCACUUUCCAUCACAUUAUAGCAUUACAAUAGCAUACACAUGUAUAACUACAUACACAUGUAAGGCGUUCUAGUAGGUUUAUGUGCAGGUUUACCACAGGUACGGGCCAGGCUACAGAGACAGUGGCCUUAUUCUCUCACUAGUAGGAGUGUAAUCCUGGUUUUCAGUCAAAUGGAACUGUGACAAUUGAAUUAGCCUGGCUGUUAAUACAAAAUUUAAUAAUAAGAGAGCAUAUUGUAAAACUAGUAAAAUAGGUCAUAAUUAAGUAAGAACUCUUAUUAUAUUUAUGUAUAAACAACUUAUUUGUAUUCAUAGUGGAUUGUCUCUGCAAAUCUAUUCUUGUCUCAGAGCCAAAUAGAAAUUUAACGCCAUUGUUAUGUUUAGGUGAACAUCACACUCAUAUUCUCCUCUGUUUGGCCUUGAAUAAAAAUCAGAGUGACAAUAAUAUAAACGGUAUGGAAGUAGUCAUGAGCAGUAGCCCAUCUGUACUAGACAGAAUUCUACAAACCAAUUAGAUGGUCAUAAAAAGCUAAACAGAUGUGGAUGAAUCAACUGGGGAAAUUGAACUCUUGCAUUUAUUGUUUGUGUAUAACCUUUUAAAAUAACUAAGAUGGGUAAAUUACCUUAAUUAACCUUUAAAAAUUUAGAUGAUUUCUAAAUAAUAGCUUUAAACAAUGCCUAUUCUUUUCUUUGUUACUUCUAAGUGUUUUGUCCAUGACGAGACGUAGUUUCAUUAGGUGAUACUGUAGAGGUAGUUGUUUAAGCAAAUGUUGUAUUUUUUUUAAUGUUGGUUGUUUUCUUGUUCUUUUUUUGGUUUUAAUUUCUCUUUUCCAUCAUCAGACUUUCUACAGUACAUACUCCCAUCUAACCGCCAUUAAGCUCUCCCUUACAGUCAGGAGAAAUCAAAUCCACUUAUCCUAGCAAGUAAUGGCAAGAAAAGUCAUCUCUUAGAGACCACUUGAGUUGCUCUCACUGCUCUUGGGUGGCAUAGACUCUCCAUCAGGACAGCGAAUCCUAUUCCCAGCCGUAAGAAUCAGCUAUCUGGGCUAAAGCAGUGCUGGCAGCAAAGACAACGUAUAAAUAGUGUUUUUGGAUAGGUUGACUGGAUAUAGAUUUUUUUUUUCAGCUACUUUCUGGCAUGCCUGGAGAUAGCAAACAAUUGUGAGAGGAUUAUAUGGGUUCACGCAUAGCUGAAAUCAGAGGACAGAGAUUGACAAAGCUACAGAAGACUGAAGCAAGUCUUAAAAGGAAGGUUCUAGUUGGAAAUGAAGGAAAGUGUGUUCCACAAUACAUCAGUAUCCCUUCUUGGAGGACAGUGAAUAGAGAUUGGGCCCUUACCAACUUCAACUAAUGCAGUCCCACUUACCAGCAGGUGGUGUUUCAGGUACAGAGGAAAAACACUACAGUGGUAGUUCGGGAAAACUGAUGAUGUAAGAGGCCAGCCAUCCUGCGUCCUCAUUAUUAAGAGGUGCAAGAAACUGAGUAGUAUGUCUCUUCCUGCAAAACUAGUCCUUAUGGUGUAAGUUACUUGUAUGAAGUAAGGCUCUUUGCCCAUCCCUCCACACACAAAAUCAAUAUACACAUAGCAGAGAAAGGGAAACUUCCAACAGCUUGGAAGUCCUCCAAAAUCUUCAACUACUUUUAAUGUGCAACUGAGAACAGAGAAUAUGCUUCUAAUGAAUUUUUAAAGGACAUGCACAUAGGCAUUAACUACACAAGAAAUUAACUACUCAAAGCCAAAGAAUGGCAAAAGUCUAAUAACAAAGCAAGAUUAAUACCUUGACACUUUUCUAGUGUACCUGUACCAUUUAUUGGGUAAAGAAUACAGGAGUAAUAAAUUACCAUCCAUAGUCUUUUUGCUAUUGCUUCUGUAUCUAUUGUCUUGUUAUAAUGCAUCUUCAUUAUGCUUUCAUCCCUUAACUACUUCGUUGCUGCCAUCUUGAGAAAGAGGAGAAGGAGAAUCCCAAGGCAAGAGAUAUUUUAAGUAGCAAGGCAAUUCACUAUAGGAAAAGCCACUUCAAAAUUGCUAAUGCAGUCUCUUUGUAAGCAGUCACCGUAGAGGAAAUUGGCACUGUUUGCAAUUUAUUACAAGACCCCAGAAAGACUGAAGUUUCUCCCCACUAUGUAUGUGUACAUGUAAAAUAUAAAUGUACUUACUUGCUUUAACGUAAACAAAGAAUAAAUAAUUUAACAUAGGUAAGUCUUGCCCCAGGUUAGUGUCCUCUAGGGCCACAUUCUAAUUUACCAGAGAAAACUGCAUAGUGGAAAUACAGUAGAUGAAAUCAGCAUGUCCUCAAGGUGGUUGAAUUAUGAUGCAGGUGAAAAAAAGAUCACAGAACUGUAGGGAUUGGAAGGGACCUUGAGAGACUGAGUCCAACCCCCCCUGCAAAGUAGGCUCCCUACAGCAGGCUAUAGUCCUUGCAAUUAUGCUCCCUGUCCCCAUUUAUAAUUACUGUCUCCCAGCAAUAUUUAAAGUAUUACCAUGAGAAUUGCAUUGUGUCAGGCCUAGUUAUCUCUAUUACACUCUUUCUGAAAUUCUGUAUCUUCAGCUAUGGUACAUAUGUACUGUAGGGAGCAUGUUCAACUUACCUGCUUGAGGAAAAAGUUGCUUCUUCACCACAAUACCUCUCAUAACAUGAGCUGCUAGGACUUAAAGCAAUGGCAAUACUGUGUAGUAAAAGUAGCUUAUAUCUUACACUGUACUGAUAUAUAGCAUACAAUCUGAGCAAUAGUCCUAUGCACAGACAAAUCUCUCUCUGUGGGCUGACAUUAAGGAUCUGAACGGGUAACUAUCAUUCUAUGUGGGUUGCCCUGAAAGCAAUGCCUCCUAUUUUUUUCAUCGGAAACCACAACAGGUAUAAAGAGCAAGAUACCACACUUUGAUAGUGCAAAUUCUCAGCUACCAUACACUAUUUUUCACCAUAGUCACCUCCGGUAGCCAAUUUACACAGGUGAGCUGAUAGAGAUGCUCUUCAUUUCAUGGUGUGACAGCUGUGUGUGGCUCUCUGAAGUGUGGCUUGUCUUUCACGUUGCUGUCACUGCAGCUGAAAUGCACCACCCACCACAUCACUGUGCCAGAAUCCACUGUUUGGCAUCCAUAAAUGUUCAGAAAGUGUCAAUGAAUAUCAACGGGUGCAAUUUUUUAAUCAAGGAGGAAUUUGGUUCCACACCUUUGCUUCCUCUGCACUUCCAUGUCAGGCACCAUUUUGUCAGAUUGCCACUGCUGCCAUCUGUUGCAUGGCAACAAAACGUACUGCCAUAUCACCAACACCUGACUCUGACAUUGUAGGCCAGCAAAAUAAAACAGGAGGCAUUACUUUCAGAGCAGUCUACAUCUCUUCUCACCUAGAGGUAAGACCAAAUCUGAGGCAACUUCCUUUCCCACCCCUUCUGGCUCUUCUACAGAGAAGCAUUAAGUACACUUGCUAUAAGAUAUUGCCAUAGACAAGAGCACUGAAUCAUGGAAAAUGCCUCUGUUCUUCAACAGGCAAAAGUGUGCCCAGUCAGUAUUACCCUUAACACCUCUCAUAGCCUGUGACCAAGGGAUAUCAAUAGUAGAACUGCUCUAAGUAGUUAACAGUACAUUUCCCCUACGAAGACUCCCUCUGUAACACUCAUUUAUCUCGUGAAGUAGAAUAAAGACAGACAGCAAAAAAGAGAACUGAUAUAAGUACAAACUAACUUGUUUAAAAAAUAAAUGCCCACACCCUGCAGUGUGAUUAUAAAGGUCUGAUUUUUUUUUAUAAACUGUUUAUUAUCUGUGUUUUUGCACUGAUGUGCAAC